UAAACGACUCUCGGCAACGGAUAUCUCGGCUCUCGCAUCGAUGAAAAACGUAGCGAAAUGCGAUACUUGGUGUGAAUUGCAAAAUCCCGUGAACCAUCGAGUCUUUGAACGCAAGUUGCGCCCGAAGCCUUUAGGCCGAGGGCACGUCUGCCUGGGCGUCACGC
rnacentral:rRNA from 1 species